rnacentral:rRNA from 1 species
UACGUAGGCAGCAAGCGUUGUUCGGAAUUACUGGGCGUAAAGAGUGUGUAGGCGGUGCUCUAAGUUCGGUGUGAAAUCUCCCGGCUCAACUGGGAGGGUGCGCCGAAAACUGGAGUGCUGGAGCGCGGGAGAGGAAAGUGGAAUUCCUGGUGUAGCGGUGAAAUGCGUAGAUAUCAGGAGGAACACCGGUGGUGUAGACGGCUUUCUGGACCGUAACUGACGCUGAGACACGAAAGCGUGGGUAGCAAACAGG